rnacentral:misc_RNA from 1 species
AACCCGACACGCAGGAAAAUCCUUUUUUUCACCUUUCCCCUUCCUUAAUUUCCUUUUGUUUAUCCGUGCCGGCUUGUUAUCUCGCCGGAGAGAUGAAUAUUCCGGCGAUUACUUUUUCUGCAUCUACACGCAAUGUCUGUGCUUCCGACCAUCGCCGCCACGUUUUCCACGAAAAAAUCCUAAGCUGAAAGCCAUAAUCUUCCCUUGCAUAUCUUCCAAGUUAUUGAUUUUUCUAAUCACGGAGGAAUUGUACCAGAUUUUGCUUACACAUAAAUUUUGUGUAUGGGAUUACGAUUAAAAUUUUCAGAGGCUUUUUGAUUGGCUGGCGAUCCUGUUGAGGAUUCCAAUUUCGAGGUUUUUCGUGUUUUUUAUUUUCUUCUUUCGGUAAGGCGCUGCUGUUGUAGCUAAUGGGAGGAGGGGAGCGGGACAUCUGCAUGAGUUUGAUUGUUAACCUGUAGCAUUGAUUUUUUUUUUUUUGUCUGGUUCAUGGGUUUUGUAAAUUGUACCGGAAGAAUCAGGACCAGAAGGAGUCAUUGAUUGGUCACUGUGUUUGUGAGUCUGUGCAACCCAAGUAAUUAGAGAGGGCUCUGAAUAUGGAGCAGAACUGACACGAAGAGCUUCAACCUGAGCAGUCAAUCCAUUUUAACUUCUAACCUUCAGCCUUAGCCUCGGGUCUUCUCUGUUUCUAUCAUCUUCAUAUCUGUUAUGCCUUUUCCUAUGAAGAUCCAACCCAUAGAUAUAGACUGUCAGACGACGGUUCCCUCGCGGGCCGAGCCGGUGAAGCCGGUGUUGAAAUCGCGUCUAAAGAGACUGUUUGACCGGCAGUUCCCCAGCGUGUUGAGAAUUUCCUCGGUGGAAAAACCAAGCGUUGGUGAAGCACAGUAUGGGACCAAGGACGGAGGAGGUGCAGGGACCGAGUUUGAGCCGAGCUCAGUAUGUUUGGCUAAAAUGGUGCAGAAUUACAUCGAGGAGAGCAACGAGAAGCCGUUUCGGGGCCGUCACCGAUGUAAUUGCUUUAAUGGGAACACUAACGACAGCUCCGAUGAUGAAUUUGAUGUAUUUGGCGGUGGUGGUUUUGGCGAAUCGAUUAGCAAUGGAUCGUCUGGCGAUGCCUCUGAUAUUCUUAAGGUAAAUAGCCCUUAAGCUCUUCCAAGUUACAAUUUAAGAGCAUUUGCCCUUUGUAUUUUGAAGCUAUACGACUCCUUGAAGGUCAAAUGGCUAAAGAAAUGUGUAUGUCUGCGUGUUAGAACCAGAGUUUGAUUCCCUGUGCCAGUGUUCACGAAAGAAACCUCUUAGCUGAUGCUGCGAUGAUCGUCGAGAAGAACAAAAAUCACAAGCAAAAGGACGAUUUGAGAAAUAUCGUAGCCGAUGGAUUAUCUUCUCUCGGCUACGAUUCCUCCAUUUGCAA